rnacentral:tRNA from 1 species
UGGGGUGUGGUUUUGUUGGUAAAGUGCUUGCCUCCCAGGCACAAAGCCUGGGUUCUAGCCCCAGCACUUUAA